rnacentral:tmRNA from 1 species
GGGGUUGCAAUGGUUUCGACAGGGAUGUAAAAGAAAAUACUUCGCUCGAUCGACUAACGUAAACGGUCAAAACUUAAACUAAACGCAAGAUAUAAAAGAUUUGCAGUAGCAGCGUGAAUGCUACCCUGAAACACACUGAGAUAAUGCUGGUAGGUGUUGAGGGAAGAUAACAAGCAUAUGUAACUAAAAAAAUAUAAACACUUGUUUUUUCAUAAUGAUCAGGCAAACAGCGUAAAUGGUAUUUUCAAGUAAUGUUCUUGGACAGGGGUUCGAUUCCCCUCAGCUCCA